AACGAACGCUGGCGGCAUGCCUAACACAUGCAAGUCGAACGAGACCUUCGGGUCUAGUGGCGCACGGGUGCGUAACGCGUGGGAAUCUGCCUAAAGGUUCGGAAUAACAGUUAGAAAUGACUGCUAAUACCGGAUGAUGUCUUCGGACCAAAGAUUUAUCGCCUUUAGAUGAGCCCGCGUAGGAUUAGCUUGUUGGUGGGGUAAAGGCCUACCAAGGCGACGAUCCUUAGCUGGUCUGAGAGGAUGAUCAGCCACACUGGGACUGAGACACGGCCCAGACUCCUACGGGAGGCAGCAGUGGGGAAUAUUGGACAAUGGGCGAAAGCCUGAUCCAGCAAUGCCGCGUGAGUGAUGAAGGCCUUAGGGUUGUAAAGCUCUUUUACCCGGGAUGAUAAUGACAGUACCGGGAGAAUAAGCCCCGGCUAACUCCGUGCCAGCCGCCGCCGUAAGAC
rnacentral:rRNA from 1 species